rnacentral:rRNA from 1 species
GUGAGGAAUAUUGCGCAAUGGAGGCAACUCUGACGCAGCCAUGCCGCGUGCAGGAAGAAGGCGCUACGCGUUGUAAACUGCUUUUAACCGGGAAGAAACCCCAGGACGUGUCCUGGGUUGACGGUACCGGAGGAAUAAGCACCGGCUAACUUCGUGCCAGCAGCCGCGGUAAUACGAAGGGUGCAAGCGUUAUCCGGAUUCAUUGGGUUUAAAGGGUGCGUAGGCGGAGCGUUAAGUCAGUGGUGAAAUCCUGCAGCUUAACUGGAGACUGGCCAUUGAUACUGGCGCUCUUGAGUGCGCUUGAAGUGGGCGGAAUGUGCCGUGUAGCGGUGAAAUGCUUAGAUAUGGCACAGAACACCAAUUGCGAAGGCAGCUCACUAAGGCGAUACUGACGCUGAGGCACGAAAGCGUGGGGAUCGAACAGGAUUAGAAACCCUUGUAGUCC